AACGCAUAUGGCACCUGACGCUCCGGCCGAGGGUAUGCCUGCCUCAGCGUCGUUCCAACCCCCUCUCCGAUCCCAAGCUCUGGGGCUUCGGAGGAGCUGGCCUCUCCCCUACCCACGGGACUGGCUGAAAGGCAAGCGGCCCGGUCGAACGGAUCGGCACCUGUGGUGGUGGCCACCGAGCCUCCUCUCUGGACCGAACCUUCGCACUGCCAGCGGCCCCCUCUAAGGAAACGCACCCCCCAAUCAUUCGACCUGAGUUCAGGCAAGAACACCCGCUGAACUUAA
rnacentral:misc_RNA from 1 species